AGAGUUUGAUCAUGGCUCAAAUUGAACGCUGGCGGCAUGCUUUACACAUGCAAGUCGAGCGGCAGCGCGGGGGCAACUCUGGCGGCGAGCGGCGGACGGGUGAGUAAUGCAUCGGAACGUAUCCCGUAGUGGGGGACAACCCAGCGAAAGCUGGGCUAAUACCGCAUAUGCUCUACGGAGGAAAGUGGGGGACCUGGAAGGGCCUCACGCUAUGGGAGCGGCCGAUGUCCGAUUAGCUAGUUGGUGGGGUAAAGGCUUACCAAGGCGACGAUCGGUAGCUGGUCUGAGAGGAUGAUCAGCCACACUGGGACUGAGACACGGCCCAGACUCCUACGGGAGGCAGCAGUGGGGAAUUUUGGACAAUGGGGGCAACCCUGAUCCAGCCAUGCCGCGUGCGGGAAGAAGGCCUUCGGGUUGUAAACCGCUUUUGGUCGGGAAGAAAGGGCGCCGGAUAAUACCUGGCGCUGUUGACGGUACCGGCAGAAUAAGCACCGGCUAACUACGUGCCAGCAGCCGCGGUAAUACGUAGGGUGCGAGCGUUAAUCGGAAUUACUGGGCGUAAAGCGUGCGCAGGCGGUUUGUUGUGUCUGAUGUGAAAGCCCCGGGCUUAACCUGGGAAUGGCAUUGGAAACUGGCAAGCUGGAGUGUGGCAGAGGGGGGUGGAAUUCCGCGUGUAGCAGUGAAAUGCGUAGAGAUGCGGAGGAACACCGAUGGCGAAGGCAGCCCCCUGGGCCAACACUGACGCUCAGGCACGAAAGCGUGGGGAGCAAACAGGAUUAGAUACCCUGUAGUCCACGCCCUAAACGAUGUCAACUGGGUGUUGGGGAAGCGAUUCCUUGGUACCGUAGCUAACGCGUGAAGUUGACCAAUCACUA
rnacentral:rRNA from 1 species